GGCUCGAAGGCCCAUUUUCAUAACCAAGGGGCCCAAGCCCAUUCUUCUUUUAACCUAAUCAAAACACACACAUUUUCACACACAACACGCCGCUCUCUCUCUCUCUCGGCUGUCUCUCUGCCGCCGGCGAGCGGCCCCUCUCCCUCGACAUCUCUCUUCCCUCUGACCCCUCUCUCUCACCCUCUCCUCAGCCGGAUCCACGGCUACAGCCUCCCUCUCUCUCUCCCUUUCUCUCUCUGUGCCGAUCAACUCCGCCUCGCCUCAACCAGGACGGAAAUAGGACAACGGCGGUCUGCCGCCGCCGGAGACGACGAGCCACCAUGGCUGCGGCCUCCUUAACUCAUACUUAAACAGAGCAGGGACUCAGCCCGAUUUCCAGUCAACACGAUAUAAAAAUAGGGUUUUUGCUGAAUUCAUCUUCAAAGACUUCAAUUAUAACUUGUAUCAGUUGAACAAGCUUGAACAUAGAACACGAAUACCAAGUAA